rnacentral:snoRNA from 1 species
AUGUAAUGAUGAGUUCAUAUGCUACAGAAAUUUCAUGUUGAAUAUCUUCUGAGCUUUUUAACUCUGAUCAUA